CACCCCAAACUGCAGGAACGAUGUACAUCGUGUGAUGUUUCUUUCAUGGUAGUGAUGGACACAAGGAUGUAAGCACCAUUACCUGCACACAAGCGUGUCCCUCACAAGUGUGAAUCUGACCAGUGGGCAAAGAUGAGCUGAAUGUGAAAGCCCUCAGCACUGUUCCUGGGAGGGGGUGGCCAAGAGACGCCGGGAUGGAAGACAGUCAGGCUCCAGGCUCCGGGUGGCUGGGCAGGUUUGUGAGAGGCCCAGAGAGAAGUAAGGAGCCCUGGUGGAGGAGGAUGGGGACCCUAGGCCCAGCCCCAGACCUGGACAAGGCCUCACAGCUACACCUGCCUGGUCACCACCUCUCAGCCUCCGUCUCUGCAGCUGGAGGUCUCCACAGAUAAGAUUUCUCAACUUCAAACUGUCAUCAAGGUGCAUCUCCACUCCCCGUCUUCGGGCUAGUGCCUAUAUUCCAGGGUCACCCGGGGUAGUUCCGAGAGGCCAAAUCUUCAAGCCCUACACCACCCCCCUGCUUUGAGACUGGAGUAGAGACCGGAGAGCGGAGAGGCAGAAAGUGACUGCUGGAGACAUAGAUGGAAAAGCAGAGUGUGAGAAAAUACCAGGAAGACUAGGGAUGACAGGCAGGCAAAAGCGGGUUGGCCUGGACAGUCGCUGCGAAGUCGAAGUCGCCCUGCCGGAAACGUCCGGGGUAGGGGUGGGGGGACCUGGUUCCGCAGAGGCUGAGCCGUCCCAGGUAAGAGGAUCCGCUCCGAAUUCACAAAUGAAACCUGGAGGCUCAGCUUGGGACGCAGAGAGCAAGGCUGCUUCUUGCUUCCUGACCUUCAGCUUGGGCCCUUCGCUCUCCGCCCCCACCGAUCUCCCCUGCGGCCACCUCUACCCCUCCAGACGCCCGCGUCGUCGUCGCAGGUGUUCAGGCACACAGCCCACA